UGGGGAAUAUUGCACAAUGGAGGGAACUCUGAUGCAGCGACGCCGCGUGAACGAAGAAGGCUUUCGAGUCGUAAAGUUCUUUUAUAUGGGAAGAUAAUGACGGUACCAUAAGAAAAAGCCCCGGCUAACUACGUGCCAGCAGCCGCGGAAAUACGUAGGGGGCUAGCGUUGUCCGGAAUCACUGGGCGUAAAGGGUUCGCAGGCGGAAAUGCAAGUCAGGUGUAAAAGGCAGUAGCUUAACUACUGUAAGCAUUUGAAACUGCAUAUCUUGAGAAGAGUAGAGGUAAGUGGAAUUUUUAGUGUAGCGGUGAAAUGCGUAGAUAUUAAAAAGAAUACCGGUGGCGAAGGCGACUUACUGGGCUCAUUCUGACGCUGAGGAACGAAAGCGUGGGUAGCAAACAGG
rnacentral:rRNA from 1 species